CAGCAGGAGCUGCGUUGAGCUGCUGUGAAUCUUUUAAAUCUGUCCGCGACACAUGAUUGGGGGUUUCCGAAAACACAGUGUAGCCUCUGUGGGGCCGCAGCUUGAAACACUUGAGGCAGACAGCUACGUCCCCGCCCCAACCUCAAGCCAAGCUCUCGUCUCCGUUCAAAUCUCUGCAAGGAUCCCAGCUCCUUUCCCCAGCGCCGCACAAUCUUACCCAAGGCUUUCCAGCUUCUCUUCGCCCCCCUGCAUGGAAGUCGCGGGGCUACAAGGAAAGCAGAGGAAGGCGAGGCAAAGCUCCUAGGCGAUUCCGCAUCCACAGCGACCUGGCAGCGGCAACGGGACACGUUAGCCACGGCGUGAGGGGCCACUUUCCCACCAGCCCAAAAAGAGAGGGGGACGAAGUCAGCCAGCCGAGAGGGGAAAACAGUAGCAUACAAGGCCCGUCAGGAACUACUGCACCUCAGAGCAACCCCUUGUCAGGCAGCCGUAGGAAGCAAAGGGGCUUCCCUCAGGGUUGGCCAAAAAACUUAAAAAAUAAUGAUCUGCUUCACCCGCUGCUGCUCCCACAGUUCACAAGCGAGGCCCCACCCCCUUGGCUCGACUUCUCGCACAGCACCCGCCUCGCUUUUGAAAUGGGCGGGACGGUGGCCACGACCAACACGCUCGUCCGUGGAAGCGUCUUGGGUCGCGCCCCGUCACGUAUAAACGCGCCAACCGUGAGAUUCGGGGUACGCUCCUCACACGAAUGGCCCGACUCUACGUUCAUUCGUGGCAGGGUGCACCCCAACCGCCUCCACGGACCAGCCUUUUGCCCGUGGCCGCUGUUUCCGGCCUGACACUUCGUUCUUCUUUUGCUUUAGUAUUCUGUCGGUUUUGUAAUCAAAAGAUUUUUUUUUAAGCAAACUUUUGUUUAUUUAUUUAUUUAGAGACGUAUUCAACAGGGAAGAUUUCCUUGUGGUGGGAAAAUCUGCUAAUAUUACUACGUCUCCGUGUUUUAAUUUCUGAAAACGGGGAGGUUACAGCAAACCCGGAAGUCACGCUGUCUGUUCUGAGAGCCCUUCUUCCUAUAAUCUCAAAAUACAAGGGCUGGUGGUGGUUGCGGUAUCAGUAGAGGGGGGGAAAUCAUUCUGCAUACGGUUUAAUAUAUUCUUACAGUAUACUGCCGGGUCCGGAACUAUUGAAAGUGCGGGUUGUUGGUUUUUAUCUGUGCUUUUUCAAAAAGCAACCAGCUCCUUGUAACCUACCAGGAUUGAUAAACUCUUGAAGCUGCCAGCCAAUAUUCACGAUGGGUGAGAUCGAGACAUUUGGUAUUAUCUGCUUAGAACGAGAUACUCAGAAGAAAACUAAGCCCCAUUGAGCUCAACUGAAUUUAUGGGCAGAGAUCAACAGUUUAAUAGCAAAACCACAGGACUAGAGAAAGGAUAAUGCAUCAACUUAUGCUUGACUGAGAUCAGACCCAAACGUGCCCAUACUUGAGUAGCAAGACGUUUAAG